UACAGAGGGGGCGAGCGUUGUUCGGAAUUACUGGGCGUAAAGGGCGCGUAGGCGGCCUGCUAAGUCAUACGUGAAAUCCCUCGGCUCAACCGAGGAACUGCGUCUGAUACUGGUUGGCUUGAAUUCGGGAGAGGGAUGCGGAAUUCCAGGUGUAGCGGUGAAAUGCGUAGAUAUCUGGAGGAACACCGGUGGCGAAGGCGGCAUCCUGGACCGAGAUUGACGCUGAUGCGCGAAAGCGUGGGGAGCAAACAGG
rnacentral:rRNA from 1 species